UCCAGACUCCUACGGGAGGCAGCAGUGGGGGAUAUUGCACAAUGGGGGGAACCCUGAUGCAGCGACGCCGCGUGGGUGAAGGAGCGUUUCGGCGCGUAAAGCCCUAUCGGCAGGGAAGAAGGAGGACGGUACCUGACUAAGAAGCCCCGGCUAACUACGUGCCAGCAGCCGCGGUAAUACGUAGGGGGCAAGCGUUAUCCGGAUUUACUGGGUGUAAAGGGGGCGCAGACGGCAGCGCAAGCCAGGAGUGAAAGCCCGGGGCCCAACCCCGGGACUGCUCUUGGAACUGCGCGGCUGGAGUGCAGGAGGGGCAGGCGGAGUUCCUGGUGUAGCGGUGAAAUGCGUAGAUAUCAGGAGGAACACCGGUGGCGAAGGCGGCCUGCUGGACUGCGACUGACGUUGAGGCCCGAAAGCGUGGGGAGCAAACAGGAUUAGAUACCCUAGUAC
rnacentral:rRNA from 1 species